AAUGAAAGUCCUUAGGAUUAUUUUAAAUCGAUAAAGAAAGAUUUAUCAUUUAGUCCUUAAAUGAGUUUGCAACCAAAUGAUAUGAUAUUACUAGGAUGAUAGCUAUUAUUGGGUUUUGAUCAUGUAGUGGAAUGAGAACUUUAAAAAUUUUUAAAACAUACAUAUCGAAAGCUUUAACAAUUAAAACUGUUGAACCAAAAUCUGAACCCU
rnacentral:lncRNA from 1 species